GGGGAAUUUUCCGCAAUGGGCUGAAAGCCUUGCAUCGGAAGUCAAUACCAGCGUGAAGGGAGGAAGGCUCUUGGGUUGUAAACCUCUUUUCUCAGGGAAGAACACAAUGACGGUACCUGAGGAAUCAGCAUCGGCUAACUCCGUGCCAGCRGCCGCGGUAAUACGGAGGAUGCAAGCGUUAUCCGGAAUGAUUGGGCGUAAAGGGUCCGCAGGUUGUAAUUCAAGUCUGCUGUCAAAGAGUUUGGCUCAACCAAAUAAGGGCAGUGGAAACUGAAAAACUAGAGUGCGAUAGGGGUAGAGGGAAUUCCUGGUGUAGCGGUGAAAUGCGUAGAGAUCAGGAAGAACACCGGUGGCGAAAGCGCUCUACUAGGUCGCAACUGACACUGAGGGACGAAAGCUAGGGGAGCGAAUGGGAUUAGAUACCCCAGUAGUCUUAGCUGUAAACGAUGGAUACUAGGCGUUGCUUGUAUCGACCCGAGCAGUGCCGUAGCUAACGCGUUAAGUAUCCCGCCUGGGGAGUACGCACGCAAGUGUGAAACUCAAAGGAAUUGACGGGGGCCCGCACAAGCGGUGGAGUAUGUGGUUUAAUUCGAUGCAACGCGAAGAACCUUACCAGGACUUGACAUGUCCGGAAUCUCAGGGAAAACUUGAGAGUGCCUUCGGGAGCCGGAGCACAGGUGGUGCAUGGCUGUCGUCAGCUCGUGUCGUGAGAUGUUGGGUUAAGUCCCGCAACGAGCGCAACCCUCGUUGUUAGUUGCCAUCAUUAAGUUGGGAACUCUAACAAGACUGCCGGUGACAAACCGGAGGAAGGUGGGGAUGACGUCAAGUCAGCAUGCCCCUUACGUCUGGCUACACACGUACUACAAUGCAGGGGACAAAGGGCAGCUAGCCAGCGAUGGUCGGCAAAUCCCAUAAACUCUCGCUCAGUUCAGAUCGAAGGCUGCAACUCGCCUUCGUGAAGGUGGAAUCGCUAGUAAUUGCAGGUCGGCAUACUGCAGUGAAUUCGUUCCCGGGCCUUGUACACACCGCCCGUCACACCAUGGAAGCUGGUAGUGCCCGAAGUCGUUACCCUAACCUUUCGGGGAAGGGGACGCCGAAGGCAGGACUGGUGACUGGGGUGAAGUCGUAACAAGGUAGCCGUACCGGAAG
rnacentral:rRNA from 1 species